CCUACGGGCGGCAGCAGUGGGGAAUCUUGCGCAAUGGGCGAAAGCCUGACGCAGCCAUGCCGCGUGAAUGAUGAAGGUCUUCGGAUUGUAAAAUUCUUUCACCGGGGACGAUAAUGACGGUACCCGUAGAAGAAGCCCCGGCUAAUUUCGUCCCAGCAACCGCGGUAAUACGCAGGGGGCUAGCGUUGCUCGGAAUUACUGGGCGUAAAGGGAGCGUAGGCGGAGCGUUGAGUCGGAGGUGAAAGCGCAGGGCUAAACCUUGGAAAUGCAUUUAAUACUGGCAGGCUUGAGUACGGAAGAGGGAUGUGGAACUCCGAGUGUAGAGGUGAAAUUCGUAGAUAUUCGGAAGAACACCAGUGGCGAAGGCGACAUACUGGACCGUUACUGACGCUGAGGUUCGAAAGCGUGGGGAGCAAACAGGAUUAGAUACCCUGGUAGUC
rnacentral:rRNA from 1 species